GGCAAAAUGGUCUAGGGGAAAGAAUAUGGGCUUAGGUAUCAAAGGACCUGAGUUCUAUUCUCAGCUCUGCCA
rnacentral:tRNA from 1 species